rnacentral:rRNA from 1 species
UACGUAGGGUGCGAGCGUUAAUCGGAAUUACUGGGCGUAAAGCGUGCGCAGGCGGCUUUGCAAGACAGAUGUGAAAUCCCCGGGCUUAACCUGGGAACUGCAUUGUGACUGCAAGGCUAGAGUACGGUAGAGGGGGAUGGAAUUCCGCGUGUAGCAGUGAAAGCGUAGAUAUGCGGAGGAACACCGAUGGCGAAGGCAAUCCCCUGGACCUGUACUGACGCUCAUGC